rnacentral:lncRNA from 1 species
CAUAUAAUAACUAGACAGCCGGAGAAGCCAAAAAUAUUCAAUAAAAUGCGGGAAUAUUAUUGUAAAACGCAAAUAGCAUGUUAGUCCUGUUUUUCCCGAUACCCGUUUUGAAUUUCAUUUCAAAUGCACUUCAUCAUUCAAUAUACUAUUCCGCUCUAGCUUAUAAUGAUGCCAAAUGUUAAUGUACAUUACGAAGGUGUUUUCACCCUUCCAUACACUACUCUGAUACCCAGACCGGAGUUUAGUCUUUAAUGGGUACUGUUGGGCCCGUUUGGUCGGAGUUACCCCUCCUUUGACCUUGAGAUCAAUCUUCUGAUAUCUUUCCGGUUUUUCCGUUAACGCCGAGCGUCCCGGUAGUUCUUCCCUAGUACAUUGGCGUCUUCCGUCAUAAUAACAGAUUUCCUUUUUUGUAUGGAAAAGUUAUUCUUAGACUAUCGUUUUUUGAAAAUGUUCUUAUAAUAUUGAUGUGUUAUGAUCUUAACCUUUUUGCUUCAGUAGAAACUG